rnacentral:rRNA from 1 species
ACUCCUACGGGAGGCAGCAGUGGGGAAUAUUGCACAAUGGGCGCAAGCCUGAUGCAGCAAUGCCGCGUGUGUGAAGAAGGCCUGCGGGUUGUAGAGCACUUUUAUUGGGAAAGAAAAAACCGGAGCUAAUAUCUCCGGCAUUGACGGUACCCAAGGAAUAAGCACCGGCUAACUCAGUGCCAGCAGCCGCGGUAAUA